AACCCCUUAACUGGUAUAUGCACAAAUGGAUAAGCCAGCCGCACUUUCCUAGUUGAAGCUGUUGGGUAUUUUAGUAUGAGAAGAUAACAAAAUUUUAUAUUUGUGUAGUGUAAAUUGUACGCUUAGUACUUCAUCUCUGAAAUAGUGGACAAGGACUUAUUUAUACAUAUUGCACGUAACAAUUAUGAUUAGUUACGUAUACAAA